rnacentral:rRNA from 1 species
CCCUUAGAUGUCCUGGGCUGCACGCGCGCUACACUGAUGUGUCCAGUAAGCACCUAACCUCUUCCGAAAGGAACGGGUAACCUUUGCAAAGCACAUCGUGAUGGGGAUAGAUUAUUGCAAUUAUUAGUCUUGAACGAGGAAUUCCUAGUAAGCACAAGUCAUCAGCUUGUGUUGAUUACGUCCCUGCCCUUUGUACACACCGCCCGUCGCUACUACCGAUUGAAUGGUUUAGUGAGAAUUUUGGACUGGAACUCCCUUGCUCAGCAAUGGGCGAGGGGGAGUCCGGGAAGCUAUUCUAACUGUAUCAUUUAGAGGAAGUAAAAGUCGUAACA